UUCGGUGGAGGAACCAGACUGGAGUUUGGAAGUGAUGUUCGUCCCACCCUGACAGUCCUGCUCCCCUCCGAAGAUGACCUGCAGAGGGGUAAUGUCACUCUCAUGUGUCUGGCCAACAAGGGCUUCCCCUCAGACUGGAGUCUGUCCUGGAAGGUGGACGGCUGCAGUAAAAACUGCUAUGAGGACAGCAGGAGCCUCGGGGUGCUGCAGAAGGACGGCUACUACAGCUGGAGCAGCACCCUGAGGCUCCCUGCAGACCAGUGGAUGAGGGUGGGCUCUGUGACCUGUGAGGCCACCAAGGAGUCCAUAACCCCAGUUUUAGAGAUACUGAGAAGAGACCAGUGUUCCCAGUACUGACCUGAAUUACCUUAUUACUCUGAUUUUACUCUGCUUUGAUAUUUACUGUUUUUAUACUAUUGCUGAUGGAUAUAAACAUAUAUACAGUAUAUAUAUGUAUAUAUAAACUGUUAGCACAUCAGUAUUUUUCUUUCUCUCCAGUUGUAUCAGAUGAUUCUGAUCAGUGCUUCUCUGGUUGUUUCAAUGCAAUAAAGACGUCUUCAUUAAAACAAA